rnacentral:rRNA from 1 species
AGAGUUUGAUCCUGGCUCAGCUUGAACGCUGGCGGCAUGGCUAAAACAUGCAAGUCGAACGAGAAGCCCCUUCUGGGGUGGAAAGUGGCGAAAGGGCGAGGAAUCCGUUCCUACGUACCCCGAAGUCGAGGAUAGCCAGGGGAAACUCUGAUUAAUACUCGAUGUGGUCUCCGGAUCAAAGAUUUAUCGCUUCGGGAGCGGGGAACGACCUAUCAGGUUGUUGGUGAGGUAAAGGCUCACCAAGCCGAAGGCGGGUAGCGGGUGUGAGAGCAUGACCCGCCGCAUCGGGACUGAGACACUGCCCGGACUCCUACGGGAGGCUGCAGUAACGAAUCUUCCGCAAUGCGCGAAAGCGUGACGGAGCAAUGCCGCGUGCAGGAUGAAGCCUCUCGGGGUGUAAACUGCUGUCAGGUGCCAGUAAGAAAGUGAACAACACCAAAGGAAGGACCGGCUAACUUCGUGCCAGCAGCCGCGGUAAUACGAAGGGUCCGAGCGUUAAGCGGAAUCACUGGGCUUAAAGCGUACGUAGGCGGAACAGUAAGCAUCUUGUGAAAUCCCACGGCUCAACCGUGGAACUGCAGGGUGAACUGCUGUUCUUGAGGUCGGUAGGGGCUGUCGGAACGAUAGGUGGAGCGGU